rnacentral:rRNA from 1 species
AUUGAACGCUGGCGGCAUGCCUUACACAUGCAAGUCGAACGGCAGCACGGGAGCAAUCCUGGUGGCGAGUGGCGAACGGGUGAGUAAUAUAUCGGAACGUGCCCAGUCGUGGGGAUAACGUAGCGAAAGCUACGCUAAUACCGCAUACGAUCUAUGGAUGAAAGCGGGGGAUCGCAGACCUCGCGCGAUUGGAGCGGCCGAUAUCAGAUUAGGUAGUUGGUGAGGUAAAGGCUCACCAAGCCCGACGGAUCUGUAGCUGGUCUGAGAGGACGACCAGCCACACUGGGACUGAGACACGGCCCAGACUCCUACGGGAGGCAGCAGUGGGGAAUUUUGGAC